rnacentral:rRNA from 1 species
UACGGGGGAUGCAAGCGUUAUCCGGAAUUAUUGGGCGUAAAGGGUCCUGAGGUGGCUAGCCAAGUCUAUUGUGAAAUAUCAGGGCUUAACCCUGAACAUGCGGUGGAAACUAGAAAGCUUGAGUACAGUAGGGGCGGAGGGAAUUUCCGGUGGAGCGGUGAAAUGCAUAGAUAUCGGGAAGAACACCAACGGCGAAAGCACUCCGCUGGGCUGAUACUGACACUGACAGACGAAAGCUAGGGUAGCGAAA